ensembl:lincRNA Gm13976 predicted gene 13976
AGGCAUUGGCUCAGCUCUCUCUGGUCAGAACCAUCUUUGUUACAUGACUUUAUGCCACGGGUGAGCAGUGAACAACAUACUACAGAUAAAGGAGUUACAUCUUGAAACAAGAGGCUACAGAGACUCACGACCCACGUGGUCCCUUUCAAUAAUAUACUCAUGAUGAAUAAGUGAGCCUUUCACUAGACAUGUUCCUUCUGAGGACUGAGCCUCCAGCACACAGACUCAGGAACCUUAGUCCGGUUCUGGCAGCUGACCCAAGCAAAGGAUGUUAAUGCUCACUGGAUGCACACACAUUCUUGUGUCACACGGCUGCCGCUUGCUCACUGUGGGUAAAUGCCAAAUGCAUCUGGAAGAAGAGUUUUGAAAACAAUUCGACAGCCUGAAAGGUUCCAACAAUAAAACAGAACUCUUUACAUGGCAAAGCCAAACAAAUAACUCGGGCAAGUAUAAUUAAAUAAAUCUCCGGCUUUGGUGCA